rnacentral:lncRNA from 1 species
UAUUAUUUAACGAAAAAUCAGCAUACAUUUAGAUGUAACAGUAAGUGGAAUUCUAGAAAUAUCUGCAAGCUUAGAAAUAAAACACUAGUUCCACAAUUUUUUUAAUUUUUUUUUUUAUACAGAGUUUUGCUCUUGUUGCCUAGGGUGGAGUGCAAUGGUGCAAUCUCGGCUCACUGCAACCUCCACCUCCAGGGUUCAAGCAAUUCUCCUGUCUCAGCCUCCCGAGUAGCUGGGAUUACAGGCAUCUACCACCAUGCCCAGCUAAUUUUUGUAGUUUUAGUAGAGACGGGGGGGUUCACCAUGUUGGCCAGGCUGGUCUCGAACUCCUGACCCUCAGGUGAUCCACCCGCCUCAGCCUCCCAAAGUGCUGGGAUUACAGGCAUGAGCCACCAUGCCCAGCCACUGGUUCCACAAUUUUUUAAAUGAAAAUAAAACACAAAUCAGUACACGAAUGAAAGAUUAAUACCCCUGAGAUAGAUCUAUGCCACUAAAUUUAGACAUGCAUGUGAAUAUAUACUUAAAAUUCCCCUUCAGCUGCUCAUUUACACACACAAAUAAUCUGCCUAUGUGAGGGAGGAAACAAAAGCUUUCACUACAUAUGUAUGUAUUUAUCUAUCUAUCUAUAUAGAUAGAUAUAUAGAUAUGUGUUUACGUGUGUGUAUAUAUAUUUAGAACCAUGCAGACAUAAUAGCUCCUAUGCUUUAAAAAACAUAUAACCAUGUAUAUUGUAUACACAUAAGGGUUCCAUUAUCACCCAAUGAUCUAAUGAACUCAGGUUUCACAUCCCAUUGCUAGUAUCCCCAUAAAAACUUAUAAAAUGCCUCUACAGAUAGAAACAUUUUAAAUCAAAAACAACUCACUAUUAUGAAAGUCACAUAUUUUUGGCAAAUGAGAACUUUUCUAACCUAUGCUAUUUGACUCAUGUGGCAAUUUUUCUGUUGUAUAAAAAACUGCAUAUACACAUCUGAAAACUAUAAACAAAGGCAGACCGACAUUUAUGAUGACAUUUCCACCAUGUUGCAUCUAUCAGAAAAACAGUCACAUAUAUAUUUAUAGAGAUAUACAGUAUUAUACUACAAAUUGUAAGAACAUUUCUAUUAUAUCUACCACAACCUAAAAAUUAAGCCCAAUGAUCCAGUGAACAGUUUGCUUUUUGCAAGCAAAACUGGUUCUAUCCCCUAUGAAUUAAAAAUGACAUCUAUACAUUUAGAAAAAUAGAUGUUAAAAAUAUUUAGCAUAUCCACCAGCAAUCAAUUAAUGUUUAGGGGCAAUUUAAUGAAUUAAUGUUCUGAGAGGUGAUUUAACACUCCCACUAGCAAAAGGAAAGUAGUCUACCUGUUUACAAUGUAAUGUUAACAUAUAGGUAAGACCACCACCACCAUCUUCACGUGGAUUUAGGUCUGGAGGCCCUGCAACAUAUGCUCAUGUGCACACAGGGCUCCAACACCCCACCCUCUUAUCUCCUAAAUCCACAUCUAAUAUUUGCCUAAUACUAACAAAGCCAUCUAAGAGUCUAAACACUCCUAUCAGUAACCAAUGACAUCAUUGUGUAACAAUUUAAUGUCCCCCAAAAUGCAAAAUGUCAGCCAUCUCUAUGCUGGUUAAGAUUCAGUAACACAAUCCUGUCGGUUAUAUACACAAAGUAAUACAAAUCCCACCCAACCCUUAACAUGUAAGUGUUCUAGAGGCUGGCCUUUUUGGCAAUUCCAUCAUGAAAAGAAAAUCUUACACCACGUAAAUUUUAACAGAAAGACCACUGACAAAAUAACAUCCACAUCCAUGACUUUCAUACAUAAAGCAGCAUUAAUAAAACUUCUUAGUUAGAAGUUGUAUACAUUAAGUUCCCCCAGAAAAACAUCCAUAGCAAUAUAAACCAAAAUAAAAGGAUUUUUAAUAUACAUCAGAGGUACUUUAACAAUUAUAUUUCUAAAAUCAUUUCUUAAAAUGUUUCUACAUACUUCAGCAAACUAAUUGUUAGCAAUAUCUAUGUACCAAGAAAAUGUCAUAAAACAAUUAUUUAGAAACUUCAAACACUGUAUCCUCAAAUGCACAUAAACAAAAUGCCUUUUUUUCUAAUUAACGCUUCCCAUGUCAUUUUCUAUUACCCUUAUGCACUCAAAAAGUGAAUACAGAAUUGUGUAUAUCUUUAAAAGGUGACCUGAGAAUUCCUUUCUAACAACUGUUCCAGAAUAAAAUUCUAGCAAAUAGAAGCUUCCCCAGGAAACCAGUUAUUUAGCCACAGCAACUACAUUAACAAGCUUAACAGAUUCAUGUUCAAAAUCUAAGUGUUUGCUUUUAACUAAUUACAUUCCAAGAUUAUGCAAAAAAAUACAACUAUUACACAUUUAAUUUCACUGUCUGGCUUACCUAAGGCACAAUGAACAAUUCAUACACAUUUAUCAUUCAAUGUGUAUCUUACAUUCUCAUUUCAAUACUAUUAUCUAAACAUAAUUUUCCCACAUAUUUAAACAAACUCGUAAGCUAAAUGUCCACGAAAAAAAGUUUAUAUUAUUUGAAUAUUUGGAGCUCUUUCACAAUGCUAGCAGGAGUUGGGGAAUGAUGUCCUUAUUGCAUGUGCACACAAGUAUAUCAUGUGCAGGGCUUUUACUGGUAAAUCUUCCAAAGGCGAGUGGACUCUCCAUAGCAAGAAAAAAAAUAUUAUUGGUUGAUGAAGUUCAGGCAAGUAUCAAUCUAUCUUUCUUUCUUCCAAGGUUUUCUAGCUGAUGAGGCAUGUAGCUGAAUUCAACAUGUUAUCCUUCCCCUUCUAUCCAUAUAUUCCUGCAGGGUUGGCUUGUCAACUUGAGUUUGUACAGACUACCCAAAAUAUUUCAAGUUUUAUAUAUUUGAAAUGUUUCUCAAUUCAGUAGAUAAUUCUUUAUGCACCUGCCACGCUGUGACUCAGACGGCAUUCUGGGGAUGAAUCCGGAUUGAGAGUUGCUGUUCUGAUGUUGUAAGGAGCACACAAAUAGAGUAGAUCUGGACUAUGGCUCUACAGAGGACCCUGGCCAAAGACCCUUUAAGGCAGACAUCUCCAAGGGGGGUUAGACUUCCACCGCAAUCUAGAAAUAAAAAUGCUCCAGAAGAAUCUGUAAACUACAGUUUUCUCCAUGCUGGGGUGGUCACUCAGACUACUCACUCCUGUUGAUGUAUUUCAGUGAAAAAAUGGUUCAUAAAUCUACCCUAAAUCAUAUGUUGCAAUCAGUGUUUGUUGCUGCAAAAAUUUCUGAAAAUUUUUAAGGAUGAGAGGAUUAGAGUGAGGGAAUGCCACAAAAUAUACAAAUCCAAAUGUUUGGUGUCCACAAGUGGGUGGUUUCCAGUGUUUAUUGUGGCAAAAGAUGUUCUAAAUAUUAUAAACGUAUGCAAUCGUUGUCCUCUUCCUUGAUUAUUGCUCAUUUCUAAAACUCUUGAAACAUGACAACUGCUUAUUUAUUAAGAAAACCUGAGAAGGUUUGUCUUGUUUUCCCCAAAUCAGCUCUGCCAGAUAGAUGAACUAAAGAACCUGAGGUUAGCAGCAAGGGGAACAGUUGAAAGUAUGUGAAUACAGUUAAGAUGACAGAGCCCUCACAGGGAAGAGUAACUUCAAAUCAGUUCUCUAAUGGGGUGAACAGUAUCUUUUGUACAGUAAGUUUCUAAAGGAAAUAAUCCUGGUCCAUCUUUUUUAAGCUGCAAUUUAGCCCAUGAAUGAAAGCUGUUUCCUUGCUCCUUAGCUGGCAUUUCCUUUAUACGUCUCUUCAGAAUUGACAGUCGAAUGUAUCACAGUGAUCUUAAAAAGAUGUUUCUGAAUGUAAAUGAGUUUGAAAUAUUUCACAAAUUUACUUUCUGCUUAUUUUCUUGUUCAAUUAUCUGUUCAUGAUUUGUCCAUUUUCAGAACAAUUUUUCAAGCCUUUUUGUUCACAGAGUUGUAGAUCAUAUUUAUGUACACUACAGGAAUCAACAGAGUAAAUAACCAAUAUAUUUUGCCAACCCAAAUAUAAUAGAUGCAUUUACAUUUAUUUUUAUGUUGUGAACUACUCUUAACACACCAACAAGUACACCCUCUUAUCCUCUCCAACAGCAAUGACCUCUUGAUUUCCAACAGGUUUGCUCAAAGGACAAGUUCACGUGAACACAUGCUUUUUUUUUUUUAACCUGGAAUAUUUAUUCUCCAGUGAGCUAGCCUGAAGCAGGUGGAGGCAUCCAAUAAAAUACAACCUUAAGGAACUACCUUUUCUAUUUUUAACAAACCCCGAGUCAGAAAUCUGGCAAUAUCUUAGGAACCUCUCUACUUGAUGAAACAGACAACUUUAAUUUAAAGCAAGACAGUAUGUCCCAAUUCCCUACUCUCAGCUAUGUGGUACAAUGAAAUGCCCUUGUUCUUGACCUAAACCCUAAAAAAGAAUGGAGGAAAAAAAAUCAGGGUGAAACUGACGGCCAUACUUUGCCUGUACUCUACUAGAGGGCAAAUUUGUUAUACUUUCUUCAUUCAUAUAUUGACUCUACCAAUGACUGUGGUAACAACAUACCAAUGAAGCAAAAAUUGGCUAUCCAUCAAACACAUACUAGAUGUUAAUUAUUACACUAGGCCUUGAAGACAAAGCAGUAAAAAGUACAGUCAAGGCAUCUGAUAAACCGUUAAUGUUUCUUUCUCCCUAUAAGGGAAAAAUAUCAAAAAAGUCAGUCUAUUUAGCCUUUUGGAACCAUAUUUCCAAAUUCUGCUAUGUACUCAUCUUGGACAAAUGAAAAGCAUUAUUUCAGUAAGUCAAAGCUUUUAAAGAAGGUAUCAUCAUUGUGACUUAAAACAAUUUCUAAAGGAUGGAUUUUUUGGGUUUUGUUGCUACCUUGACAUCAUUGCCGAAGGCUGUAAUUCACUCAGUAGAUAAAACACCCAGUCUACCUAAAAUGUGAAGCCACGGUAUCCAGCCAUGCUCACUAGAGUUACACAUUAUACAAUUGACAUUAAAACAGAAAGUACAAUGUCCCAAAUUUGUUGCCACCCUCCAAAAUAAUUUCAAUAAUUCCUAGGCCAUAUACAUUUUCAAAUCCUCUGUAAUUUCUUCUCAUUUUAUUCAGUCCAACCCAAAGAAGUCUGCUUGUUUGAAGUCUGGGUUUCUUGUUCAGUUGCUGUAUCACAGAGAAUGACUGAUUUGAUCUGAAUAUAUCCAUAUUCUUCACCACUUCCAAACCUGGAGGAGUCUCAACUGAAGUGGCUAAUUUUACAGUUUUUAAGUAAAAGAGAACAGCCUAUUCCCAAAGAGAAUCAUCAUUGGAAAACAGUACUAAAUUUCAAGAAACAACUAUAGCCACUGGAAUGCCAACCUGUAUGUUGAAAUUUCCCAAACCCAACAUAUGUAAGUCCACCAGAAGCAGAUGCUUAAAAUCAAACAAUAAAUAAAUAAAACAAGUUAUAAAGAGUUCAGUAAUUAACAUUAAACACAAACAGGAUUACCUUUCCUUCCUCCAAAAGGGUAGGUAUUAGGCAGAAAUUACCACACUAUAUUCAUUGAGAUCAUACCUGCUCUUAAAAUGUUAUUUUUUUAAUCUACUGUUUUCAGGAAUUUUGUCUUCUUUUACCCAAAGUGAAUUUAUAUGGACUGAAUUUAGAAAUGGCUGAAUUUACUCAAAUUUAAUUUAAUUUAGAUUCAAAUGAGUAUAGUUGAUUCACUGCUAGGAAAAUUAUCAAAAAUAAGCUCGUUUCCUCAUAUCACGUAGAUAAUUUAAAUUUAUAUUAGAAAUGUAUUAUUUUAAGUGAUAUAUGUCUGUAUUUCCAGGAAAUUAUGAAGUGUUUACGUCCUCCCAUGCAUUUGAACACAUUGGCUACAAAUAGUCAUUCCUAUUAAUAAUAACCUUGCAAGAAAAAAAUAUAUGGUAUUCUACAUUGAUUUACAUUAUUACAUAAGACAACUUUCAAGAUUCCCUGGUCAUGAUCACAUUUUAAAAUAUGCGAUAACAUGAUGUAUCAUUGCUUUUUCCAUAUCAGUGUACAUUAAAAGACAUAUAAUAGCACUCUAAGUAUGGUUCCUAGAUCUGUAGCAUCUAGAAACUUGAUAAAAAUCAACUUCUCAUACUUAUACCUAAUAAGCCAGAAACACUAAGGUCAGGACCCAGUAAACUGUGUUUAAAAAGCCCUCAGGUGAUUCUUAUCCACACUAAAUUUAAACAAAUCACUGACUAACCAAGGCUAUCUAGAAAUACCAUCCUUUAUUCAUUCUAAUAAUUUAUCAAGAAAAGACAUUUAAUCAGCACACUUCGCUAAUUAAAACAAUCUCAGUGAAAGACAAUAUUACCUAUUUAUGGUCACCUCAAGAAAAGGUAUAGAAGCUAACAUGGGAAAGGUAGCUGACAUUCUUUAUCUGAAGUAAAACAGAAACUUACAUGUUAAAUGAUAAUUCUGACUCCUAACAUACACCACCUAUUGUUCCACAAUUCAAACCAUGCAAGUUUUCCUUAUUUCCAACAAAUGAAACAAUCAUAACAUUACUCUCAAUUUACCUGUCUCCCUUCAUACAACUCAGGAACAUGUUCCAACCACAUUAAAAUUUGCUUAUUUGUUUUCCUCCUACUACUCAUUAAUGCAAUUUGCCAUCUUCUGCUAACUCAUUCCUUCCACUACUCUCAGCAAAUUACUUUGAUCAUGAAUUAGCAAGGCUGGACCUCACGCUCCCUUUGCAGGAAUGGAAAGUGUCAUCCAAUUCAAGAAAUAAUGAUUCUCAUCAUUAAGCCAACCCUCCUCCUACCACUCCACCAAAACACACACACACACACACGUGCACACACGCACACACGUGCACACACGCACAUACACGUGUCAUCUCUUCCAGAGAUUCUUAUUUUCAGGGGAUUUAUUUUAAGUCAUCUGUGAAGUAUCACCCCACAAAUGAGGUUGUUUGGAUGGGCUGGGCCAGCAACUACCACUGCAUUCUCUAAGUUGCACCAAACAUCUGAAGGUAAAAGACCCCCUGUCAACACUACACCUCAACAUAUCUGGCACUAAUUCCCUAUUUUUCUCACUUAACUGCUUAUUUCUAAUCUAAUUCAGUUAGUAGGAAAGGAAAAACUCAUUUUUCUCAAUUCAUCCAACAUAUCGCUAACUGCCUGGAUCAAGAACACUAAGAGAACCAAACAAAUCUGAGAGGUUAUAAAUACACUAACAUUUCUACCAGAAGAACAGAGACUCAAAGGCAAGAACUAUAAAAUAACUUAUCUACCUCACUUUUAGAAGAAUGUUCAUUUCUCUGAACCCCAACAGCUUUUCACUAUAAACCAGUCAUUUGUCAUGUGAUCACAGUAUCAACACCCACAUCAUUAAUAUGUACAUAUGUAUACACAAACACAUAACACAUACAGAAUUUAUCAACUAAGAUAACAACUAGAGAAUAAGAUCUUGCUAUAUUCAAUGUUCAUGGUAUAUUUAAUAUAGGCUUUUCUAAAUUACCUUCUUAUUCACCAUUCCUCCUUCAUAAUAACGACUUAUAGGCAAAGCAAAAGCACCUACUCAUAGAAUGUCAAUCACAGAUAAUGAAAGACCCAUCAAUCAUACAAGCAAAAAAUAGAGUACAGAAUAAUGUGAGAUUAGAGAUGUGAUUCAAAAAUUGCAUGGUGUUUAGCAAAUCUUUUAAUCUCCGUGGGGCUCAGCAUCAAAAACUAUAUAAUGCCAAUUUCAUCACCUUAACUGAAUCUAAGAGUCAAAAUUAAAUCUCCACCUACGUCUUGUAAAGAUACAGCAAAGGGUUAACUUAAUUAAAAGUAGAAUUAAAUUAAUCUCUGGAAAUGUAACUUAAGCAUUCUGCUAAAUAUAUAAAUUACGUCUCCUCUCAAACCAAUGUCUCAGCCACAAACUAGCAAUUUCUCAAUUAUAUGCCAAAUGGAGAAGCUGCCUCAGUGACAGAAACAUGCUCAUGAAACUUUCAUAUAGGGUUGGAACCGGGUGAUGCAAGCAACAGGGUUAAAAAAAAAAAGAGCAUAGGAGCUCCUAAGUACUUAUUCUCUUGAAAUGAUCACUUGAAAUGCAUAGUAGAAAUAAGCAAAGGUGUGGCUGGGUACGGUGGCUCACGCAUGUAAUCCCAGCACUUUGUGGGGCUGAGGCGGGUGGAUCACUUAGAGACCAACCUGGCAAACAUGGCAAAGCCUGUCUCCACAAAAGCAUACAAAAAUUAGCCGGGCAUGUUGGCACAUGCUUGUAAUCCCAGCUACUCUGGAGGCUGAGACAAGAAGUGCUUGAAUGCAAGAGGCGGAGGUUGCGGUGAGCCAAGAUCAUGCCAAAGAUGAGACAUACCAAUGCAGUGAACAUAGAACACACUCUACAAAACAUUAACUGUACUAAAGGAUCUAGAACCAACUUCCUUGUAUUGCACUGGAAAAACCUACAACACGCCAUUAUCCUUAACCUGUACUGAUAGGAAAAACCAUGUGAAAUUUAGAGUCUAAGAAUUUAUGUUUUGAGUAUUUGUAUCCUGAGUCCUUAGACUGACAGUAAGGCUGGACUUCAGAGUAAUCACGUUGAGCUUUACUUCAUCAUGCUCAGUAAACACAGCUCAUCACAAAUCCAGCCCAGGUCUUUCCCAAUGUCUUUCCCAUCAACUAGUAAAAAUACGUAAAAAAAUAAAUUCCUGCAGAUAGUGUAUCUCUACCCAUAAGGACAGUCCCUGGCCUGGAAGAAUAAAUGAUAAGAGUUUUAUGUGACAAUGGAUAUAAAACAACAGUAACAACAACAGUGUCAUUCAAAGCACACAGAAUUAAGGGGAAUUAUGAAGAAAAAGACACACACAGCAAUCUACAUGAAGGAAACAAACGCGGGCGCGCAUACACACACACACACACACACACACACACACACACACACAGAGAGAGAGAGAGAGAGAGAGAGAGACAGCAAUCUGCCAGUCGGGUCUCACAGAGCUAAAUACAAUGACUAUUUCCACUAGCAAACUGUCCAAAGAACUGAAACAGAAAUACACUAAUGCCACCACAGAUACUAUCGACAACUUGCUAUUCUCCCCAAUAAUUAAAUGUAAACCAAUUUUAGGACUAGAGUACACUGAAAACAUGCAUCAAAAAAUUCUAGAGUUAAGUGUAAACAAAUGGUAUAGAAAGACAGAGGACAGACAAAUAAAAUCAAGGCUGGCACAACGUAAGAAACACAAAGUCCAAAGAAAGGAUUCUGAAGGAGGUCUAAACUACUAACUUCUCUGACAAGAAACCAAAGUAGCACAGUAAUGCAAUCCAGAUUUUCUCAUGAGAACCCACACUAUUAUUCCUGAUACAUAUCUCCGAAACAUGAAAUCAUAGAUUUCAGGAACUGUAUCAUUUCAACUCAAUUUUUGCUACCAAAGAACAAAUGAUGUAACAUAAAAUGAAAAUAUCUAUACAAACAAAACAUCCAAAAGACAGGAAACAGCCCGAACAAUUCAGAUGUACAACCUAACCCUCAAGGUCACUGUAUUCUCAUUAGUUCAACAGAAAAUGAUUCACAUUAACUAAACAUCAAGUUCAAAUGUGAGCCUCCUUCUUGAUUCUUGGGCACUUAGUAUGGACCUCGCUUUUUAAGUUGAAUCGGCUCAGCAAAGCAAAUUAACCCAGCCAAGUUUUUCCUACUAAUCAUUUCUACACUGUACUAGUUCUUAAAACUCAUGGGCAAGCAGGCAUUGUGAAAAAGGAUUCCAGUGACCCACACAGAUGAUACUGAAAGUGGAAGAGCUAGAAGAACUGUUUCUCCAUGUCUGCAACCCCCUUCUUAUUGUACAACCACCUGAUCCCUUUAUCAACAUAUACUUCUACAACAUUCCCCACCUCUUUACUUUAUAUUGGCUUAAUAAAUACAUCCUUUGAACUUUAUAUCUCAUUUUUUUCUUUUUUUUUCCAGACGGAGUCUCACUCUGUCACCCAGGCUGGAGUGCAGUGGCAUGGUCUCGGCUCACUGCAACCUUUGCCGCCCAGGUUCAAGUGAUUCUCCUGC